UAACACGUGGAUAACCUACCUAUAAGACUGGGAUAACUUCGGGAAACCGGAGCUAAUACCGGAUGAUAUUUUGAACCGCAUGGUUCAAAAGUGAAAGACGGUCUUGCUGUCACUUAUAGAUGGAUCCGCGCUGCAUUAGCUAGCUGGUAAGGUAACGGCUUACCAAGGCAACGAUGCAUAGCCGACCUGAGAGGGUGAUCGGCCACACUGGAACUGAGACACGGUCCAG
rnacentral:rRNA from 1 species